rnacentral:rRNA from 1 species
AUUGAACGCUGGCGGCAGGCCUAACACAUGCAAGUCGAACGAGUGGCGGACGGGUGAGUAAUGUCUGGGACACUGCUCGAUGGAGGGGGAUAACUACUGGAAACGGUAGAUAAUAUCGUAUUCCAUCGGUUGUGCCCAGAUGGGAUUAGCUAGUAGGUGGGGUAACGGCUCACCUAGGCGACGAUCCCUAGCUGGUCUGAGAGGAUGACCAGCCACACUGGAACUGAGACACGGCCCAGACUCCUACGGGAGGCAGCAGUGGGGAAUAUUGCACAAUGGGCGCAAGCCUGAUGCAGCCAUGCCGCGUGUGUGAAGAAGGCCUUCGGGUUGUAAAGUACUUUCAGCGGGGAGGCGUUACUCGCAGAAGAAGCACCGGCUAACUCCGUGCCAGCAGCCGCGGUAAUUC